ACUUGCCUGAUAUUCUAGCGCAGGACUGACUCUCCCUUCAGACAAAACUUAAAGAACGGAAUGACCUGGCGGAAUCAUUCCCAUUUCUGUCCAUGCUCCCCCGGCCGA